rnacentral:siRNA from 1 species
CCUGGUCAUCCUCCAUGCCCCGA